rnacentral:rRNA from 1 species
UACAGGGGGUGCAACCGUUGCUCGGAAUCAUUGGGCGUAAAGCGCCCGUAGGCGGUUCGUUAUGUCGGAUGUGAAAGCCCUUGGCUUAACCGAGGAAGUGCAUCCGAAACUGGCGAGCUAGAGUACUAAAGAGGAUCGCGGAAUUCCCGGUGUAGAGGUGAAAUUCGUAGAUAUCGGGAGGAACACCGGUGGCGAAGGCGGCGAUCUGGGUAGAUACUGACGCUGAGGUGCGAAAGCGUGGGGAGCAAACAGG